UACAGAGGGUGCGAGCGUUAAUCGGAAUUACUGGGCGUAAAGCGCGCGUAGGCGGCUUUGCAAGUCGGGUGUGAAAUCCCCAGGCUUAACCUGGGAACUGCAUUCGAGACUGCAUUGCUAGAGUAUGGGAGAGGGAAGUGGAAUUUCCGGUGUAGCGGUGAAAUGCGUAGAUAUCGGAAGGAACACCAGUGGCGAAGGCGACUUCCUGGCCUGUUCUUGACGCUGAGGCGCGAAAGCUAGGGGAGCAAACGGG
rnacentral:rRNA from 1 species